rnacentral:rRNA from 1 species
UUUGUGGGGUGCUCGAGUGGCGAACGGGUGAGUAACACGUGAGUAACCUGCCCUUGACUUUGGGAUAACUUCAGGAAACUGGGGCUAAUACCGGAUAGGAGCUCCUGCUGCAUGGUGGGGGUUGGAAAGUUUCGGCGGUUGGGGAUGGACUCGCGGCUUAUCAGCUUGUUGGUGGGGUAGUGGCUUACCAAGGCUUUGACGGGUAGCCGGCCUGAGGGGGUGACCGGCCACAUUGGGACUGAGAUACGGCCCAG